UGGGCUUAUGGGAACAACACCUGUGUGGGUGAGUGUGCAGCAGGAGGGGGCAGAGGGAGGGUGUGGGCCUGGCUGGAGCUGUCACCAGGGCCUCAGUGCAUUCCCCCACAGACAGAGCUCUUGAGCUAGGUUGGCCUUUAAAGUUACCCCACGGAGACAAGGUGGCUGGGCCUAGGUGCCCCUGUGUUUACGAGGAAUCCUGGGUUGCAGCCUACUCCCAGACUGGAUGUAAUCCCCGGGCCAGGCAGUACUCUUCAGCCAAGGGCAGUCUUGGAGAGGCACUCAAGUGUGAGAGUCAGCAUCCACUGUUCCCAGCAUCUGGAAGGAGAGAGAGCAGGAGCGCGUAAGCUGGGGGAGCAGCAGACGGAGAAGGAGAAGCUGACUCGUGGCCAAGCAGGGAGCCUAAAGUGAGGCUUGAUCCAAGGACCCUGAGAUCAUGACCUGAGUUGCUUAACCAACUGAGCACCACAGAUGCCCCAGGACAGUACUUUAUACUACCCCUGCAACUUUUCUCCAAGAUUAUACCAAAUAAAUAGUUAAAUGCAGUCCCAUUCUCACUGUCUUCCCACUUUUUGGAGAUGAACACUGAGUAUUUAUGUGUUUCAAAGAACAAAGACAGUACCAGAAGUAGUAAGAGUAACUGAUUGGUAUUCAGUUGAAAGAGUUAGUCCCUAGUUAAAGAUUCUUAUUAUUUACUUCUAAACUAUUUUGGGGAAGGCAAUCAGAACUCACUCUCAGAAGCUGAGGUCAUGCACUUGAAAGGAG
rnacentral:lncRNA from 1 species